UCAGUGUUGACUGGAUGACUUCUAAACGCUCUUUCAGCUUCUAAACAUAUUUUUCGUACAAUUUCACUAGGAUUUGUCAACGUAGCUCGAUUUUUUGGAUCAAAUAAUUUUGUAUAGUGUGAUUUUGAACUUUUAUCAGCAGUUAGCAUUCUUAGACAAUUGGUACACUCAACGUUUUUAGCUACUGAUCGAGCGACAAAUCCAGCGAUAUAGUAACUAAUGUUUUCUAUAAAGUUACCAACGUCAACUAUAUCAAAAUGCAUUUACAGUUAAAUAUUUUGUGCCAUCCAAGAUAGUGCAGUUACCAUAAAUUGAACCAACUACUUGAUUAUGCACUAAUAUACGCUUGUAAGCAGCCUCAAAUUGUCUACAAGUCGGGUUGUUAUUAUGACCACCUCUGCUACGGAUUGCACUAAAUGUUGUUUCUAUGUGGUCUUGAGAUAGCUUAUAGGUCAAUAAGUAAGUCAUAUAAUUUUUAGCCACAAUAAACUCAUAUAAAUGAAUUGCAUUUUUCAAACCUAAUAUUAAACCAAGAAAACCUGUUUUCCUACUUGAUUUCAGUACUUUGAUCACAAUGGGUUGAUCAUUUUUAUAUUCAAUUAAUUCAAGACCUUCUACAUAUUGAAUAAAUUUGUUUGUGAAGUCUUUGUAUAUAGUCACAGUGUCAAAUGAUAUAGGCUUAUUAUAUGAUUUGUUAGAAAAUUUAGAUCUACUAUUUAAUAUAUCAAAAGCAUUGUUCAUGUAUGUUAUAAACUCUACUGUAGUGUCAACAUCUUCAAAAUAAGACUCUUCUGUUUUCAAAAACGCCAAAGCAUCAGCUACACUCUUACUUAGAGUUUGAGCAGCUAGUCUAACGUUCAUUUUUUCGUUGGAGUAAUUUGUCUUAUAUGUAGAAUCACCCCAAGCAUUACGCACAAGUUUUAUCAUGUGUGCAGCAUCUAGAAAAAUGUAGAUUGGUUCAUUUGUGUAGGAGUUCAUAAUGUAUGUUACGUUAUUUAAAUCUGCUCCUAAAGUAGAAACCAUUGUCAUAUUGACUGAAGCUCCAUCAAA